AGCGGAAACGAGUUAUCUGAACCUUCGGGGGACGAUAACGGCGUCGAGCGGCGGACGGGUGAGUAAUGCCUAGGAAAUUGCCCUGAUGUGGGGGAUAACCAUUGGAAACGAUGGCUAAUACCGCAUAAUGCCUACGGGCCAAAGAGGGGGACCUUCGGGCCUCUCGCGUCAGGAUAUGCCUAGGUGGGAUUAGCUAGUUGGUGAGGUAAUGGCUCACCAAGGCGACGAUCCCUAGCUGGUCUGAGAGGAUGAUCAGCCACACUGGAACUGAGACACGGUCCAGACUCCUACGGGAGGCAGCAGUGGGGAAUAUUGCACAAUGGGCGCAAGCCUGAUGCAGCCAUGCCGCGUGUGUGAAGAAGCCUUCGGGUUGUAAAGCACUUUCAGUCGUGAGGAAGGUAGUGUAGUUAAUAGCUGCAUUAUUUGACG
rnacentral:rRNA from 1 species